UGGCCUUUAGCUUAUGCGGUAGAAGCACUUCACUCAUAAUGAAGAGAUAGAUGGUUCGAAUCCAUCAAGGCCAA
rnacentral:tRNA from 1 species